rnacentral:rRNA from 1 species
GAGAGGAUGAUCAGCCACAUUGGGACUGAGACACGGCCCAAACUCCUACGGGAGGCAGCAGUGGGGAAUAUUGGACAAUGGGCGCAAGCCUGAUCCAGCCAUGCCGCGUGAGUGAUGAAGGCCCUAGGGUUGUAAAGCUCUUUUGUGCGGGAAGAUAAUGACGGUACCGCAAGAAUAAGCCCCGGCUAACUUCGUGCCAGCAGCCGCGGUAAUACGAAGGGGGCUAGCGUUGCUCGGAAUCACUGGGCGUAAAGGGUGCGUAGGCGGGUUCUUAAGUCAGAGGUGAAAUCCUGGAGCUCAACUCCAGAACUGCCUUUGAUACUGAGAGUCUUGAGUUCGGGAGAGGUGAGUGGAACUGCGAGUGUAGAGGUGAAAUUCGUAGAUAUUCGCAAGAACACCAGUGGCGAAGGCGGCUCACUGGCCCGAUACUGACGCUGAGGCACGAAAGCGUGGGGAGCAAACAGGAUUAGAUACCCUGGUAGUCCACGCCGUAUACUAUUAAUGCCAGCCGUUAGUGGGUUUACUCACUAGUGGCGCAACUAACGCUUUCAGCAUUCCGCCUGGGGAGUACGGUCCGCAAGAUUAAAACUUCAAGGAAUUGACGGGGGCCCGCCAAACCGGUGGAGCAUGUGGUUUAAUUCGACGCAACGCGCAGAACCUUACCAGUCCCUGGACAUCCGGUCGCGGUUUCCAGAGAUGGAAACCUUCCAGUUCCCGGCUGGACCGGA